GGGAAAAGAGCAUAAGUAUGCGGUUAACUUGAAAUUAACAGAUGGUGGUUUAAUCUACCUUUUCUCG
rnacentral:tRNA from 1 species